rnacentral:tRNA from 1 species
GGUAGCCAAGUGGUCAAGGUAUCGGAUCAUAGCUCGGAUGUCAUGAGUUCGAGCCUAGUACCA